GAUGAACGCUGGCGGCGUGCCUAAUACAUGCAAGUCGAGCGAACAGACGAGGAGCUUGCUCCUCUGACGUUAGGGGCGGACGGGAGAGUAACACGUGGAUAACCUACCUAUAAGAGUGGGAUAACUUCGGGAAAGCGGAGCUAAUAGCGGAUAAUAUAUUGAACCGCAUGGGUCAAUAGAGAAAGACGGUUUUGGUGUAACGUAUAGAUGGAUCCGCGCCGUAUUAGCUAGUUGGUAAGGUUACGGCUUAUCAAGGCAACGAUGCGUAGCCGAGCUGCGGGGGUGGUCGGCGACACUGGAGCGGGGACACGGACCUGGGGCCUACGGGAGGCAGCAGUAGGGAAUCUGCCGCAAUGGGCGAAAGCCUUACAGAGCGAGCCCGCGUGUGUUACGGAGAUCUUCGGAUCGUAAAGCUCUGUUAUUAGGGAAGAACAAAUGUGUAAGUAACUAUGCACGUCUUGACGGUACCUAGUCAGAAAGCCACGGCUAACUACGUG
rnacentral:rRNA from 1 species